GGAAGGAAAAAAGCGUAACAAGGUCUCCGUUGGUGAACCAGCGGAGGGAUCAUUACUGAGUUUACGCUCUAUAACCCUUUGUGAACAUACCUAUAACUGUUGCUUCGGCGGGUAGGGUCUCCGCGACCCUCCCGGCCUCCCGCCUCCGGGCGGGUCGGCGCCCGCCGGAGGAUAACCAAACUCUGAUUUAACGACGUUUCUUCUGAGUGGUACAAGCAAAUAAUCAAAACUUUUAACAACGGAUCUCUUGGUUCUGGCAUCGAUGAAGAACGCAGCGAAAUGCGAUAAGUAAUGUGAAUUGCAGAAUUCAGUGAAUCAUCGAAUCUUUGAACGCACAUUGCGCCCGCCAGCAUUCUGGCGGGCAUGCCUGUUCGAGCGUCAUUUCAACCCUCAAGCUCUGCUUGGUGUUGGGGCCCUACAGCUGAUGUAGGCCCUCAAAGGUAGUGGCGGACCCUCCCGGAGCCUCCUUUGCGUAGUAACUUUACGUCUCGCACUGGGAUCCGGAGGGACUCUUGCCGUAAAACCCCCCAAUUUUCCAAAGGUUGACCUCGGAUCAGGUAGGAAUACCCGCUGAACUUAAGCAUAUCAAUA
rnacentral:rRNA from 1 species